rnacentral:rRNA from 1 species
GAUGAACGCUAGCGACAGGCCUAACACAUGCAAGUCGAGGGGCAGCACGAUGUAGCAAUACGUUGGUGGCGACCGGCGCACGGGUGAGUAACACGUAUGUAACCUACCCUGUACAGGGGGAUAACCCGGAGAAAUUCGGACUAAUACUCCAUGGAGAUAUACUGGGGCAUCCUGGUAUAUUUAAAGCUUCGGUGGUACGGGAUGGGCAUGCGGAACAUUAGCUAGUUGGCAGGGUAACGGCCUACCAAGGCUACGAUGUUUAGGGGUCCUGAGAGGGUGGUCCCCCAACUGGUACUGAGACACGGACCAGACUCCUACGGGAGGCAGCAGUGAGGAAUAUUGGUCAAUGGGCGCAAGCCUGAACCAGCCAUCCCGCGUGCAGGAAGACGGCCCUAUGGGUUGUAAACUGCUUUUCCAGGGAGAGAAACUUACGCACGUGUUGCGUGACUGACGGUACCCUGGGAAUAAGCAUCGGCUAACUCCGUGCCAGCAGCCGCGGUAAGCGACG